ACGAACGUUGGCGGCGUGGAUUAGGCAUGCAAGUCGAGCGAGGACUAUUCCUGUAGCAAUACAGGGGUAGAGCCGAGCGGCGAAAGGGGCAGUAAGGCAUGGGUAACCUACCCCGGGGAUCGGGAUAGCCAUUCUAACGAGUGGGUAAUACCGGGCGAUUUGACGGAGUCGCAUGGCUCUAUCAGGAAAUGAAUUUCGCCUCGGGAGGGGCUCAUGUGGUAUUAGCUAGUUGGUAGGGUAAUGGCCUACCAAGGCAAAGAUGCCUAGCUGGUGUGAGAGCACGACCAGCGCCACUGGCACUGAGACACUGGCCAGACACCUACGGGUGGCUGCAGUCGAGAAUCUUCGGCAAUGGGCGCAAGCCUGACCGAGCGACGCCGCGUGUGCGAUGAAGGCCUUCGGGUUGUAAAGCACUGUCAGGGGGGAUAAAUCAAUGAUAGAUCCCCAGAGGAAGCACGGGCUAAGUUCGU
rnacentral:rRNA from 1 species